AACUAGCAAAAAGAAAAAGAUAGGACCAGAAUAUAUGUUAUGUGAGCAUAUUAUACAUACAUACAGAGAGCAUAUAAAUAAUCCAGAACGAUCCAGAAUAACGCCAACACACACACACACAAACUAAAUAACCAGAAAUAAAAUGAUGCUACUGCCGUUGCUGCCUAAAACUGUAUUGAUGAAACACACACCAACAACAACAACAGCAACAACAGAAACUCUCUUUUUUUGGAAUUUUUUUGUUUUCAAUUUUGUUUCUUUCGUUUUAUCAAAUGAAAUGAAAUGAAGAAGAAAUAAUAACAAACAAACAAAAAGAAAAAACAAGAAUCCAAAUGGAAUCAAUAUAUACUUAACGGUCGUGUCCAUUUUUUUCGGUUCUUUAUUUCACUAUCUCACUAUCUCACUAUCAGUGUGUUUGUUUGUAUGUUUGUUCUUCAAUAUUGGUUGGUUGGUGUUUGUUAUAUAAGUUGUGUAAGAUUCUACACAACUAACAACAACAACACACAUAUACAAGAAUUCUAUUUUCAGCUCAUUUUCUUACAAAAAUUCUGAUAAAACAAAAACCAUUUUCAUAAUUCAAAGUGUGGCUUUGGAUAAACAUUCUCUCUCGUUGUGUGUGUGUGUGUGUGUGUCUUUUAGACACCACCACAAACAAACAAACAAACAAUUAUUACACACACCGAUAAUUGAUUAAAAAGGUGUGCGUGUGUGUGUGUGUUCUUAAUUAUCAUUAUCAUCUGAAUAAUGAAUUUGUGAAACAGAAAAAAAUUCAUCGAGAAAAACCACAAACAAAGUAUGUGACAAAUAUGAUGACAGUAACGAUGAUGAUGAUGAUGAUGGCCAAUACCGAAAUAAUUCGAUAAUUGAAUUCUCAAAUUUGGAAAUUAUUUUCAAUAUUGAAACAAGGUAGGUUUCGUUUAUUUAAUUUAAUUUUCGAAUCUAAAAUUUUUUAUU